GGAGGGAUGGCUGAGUGGUCGAAAGCGGCGGUCUUGAAAACCGUUGUCCGUGUGAGCGGACCGUGGGUUCGAAUCCUACUCCCUCCG
rnacentral:tRNA from 1 species